CACUCAGACGGGCACCCAGGUAAGCUACACCCAGUCGGCACAUACACCUAGCUGGGCACAAACACACAGCACCAGGAUCGAGCGGAUGGACAACAAGGUGAUGAGGAGGACGACGAGGAUGAUGAUCCAGCUGAUGUAAAGAAGAGGGGUAGAGAAGAAAGCUUCAGCAUGGGGAGGACGAGCUGUUGUGCGAUGCAUAGUUGGCUACUAUGUGGAGCCCACAUGAGGCUGUGUCGAAGUAUUGCGGGCGCUUGAGACAACUCAUGGCACGGUGGCCUAGUAGUGCACAAAUCACCGAGCCGCCUUCCCGUGCGUGUAGUUUGUUCUUGAAGUUGGAGAAGAAAACCUUCACCAUCAUGCAUUGUUGGUUGAAAUUGAGUACACAGCCCAAGUGAAACCUAUACAUUGCCAAGACCGUUACCCAAGACACCUAGGAAUAAACCGGUGAUCCAACCGACCGAACAAAAGAAUCGCCCAAGAAGGUUAGAAUAGGCUUCCUGGGAAAGAAAUGGGAGGAGGAGAGGACGAAGCGAGAAGGUACGCAAGCUAAGAUGAUAGAGAGGUUCGAAGACAUCUUGACGAAGAUGGAGGAGGCAUACGUAGUGCUCGGACGCCAAGGAGGCAUGCAAUGCCGAGAGGUUUAACAUGUUGAUGACGGCAAGUGAGAAGAAGCUCAAGCUCUGAGAGAGGAAGACCAUGCUUGAAGAGAAGAAGAUCAAGCUCGAGGAGAAGAAGGUGGUGAUCAGAGUGCCUCAGACGAUGUGAACAUGCUAAGCUUGAAGAUGGAGAAUUUAGAUGAGGACGCAAGAAUGAUCGUGCAAGUUGUUUGUUUGAAGCAGUGGAAGAAGGAUGAGUUGAAGAGGGUGGCCAAGGCGGAUAAGGAGGCAGCGGCGGCGCCCUAGACGAUGGCGAUGGCAGUAUGAGCGUGGAGGCUCGGAUUGCUGGUCUGGCAAAACAGAAAGUUCAUUUGUUUACAUGGACUGCCGGACUGAUAUUCUUUUGUGAUCGGAAAUUUAAAAACUAAGCAUACGUGCAUCUUUUUGGUUGUGAUCGGGAUAUGAUGUGAUCCGGCACCACUGUGAUCUGGCACGCACUAUGGAUCAGACGUAUUUGAAUUUCAAAUUUUCUUUUAC